rnacentral:ncRNA from 1 species
CGAUCUGUGUCAAAAAGACAGCUUCUCCUAGAGUCCUGAAACUCUUCACGAACCUCCUAUUUUGCCUUUGCUCG